GACGAACGCUGGCGGCGUGCUUAACACAUGCAAGUCGAGCGGUAAGGCCCUUUCGGGGGUACACGAGCGGCGAACGGGUGAGUAACACGUGGGUGACCUGCCUUUAGCUCUGGGAUAAGCCUGGGAAACUGGGUCUAAUACCGGAUACGACUCCGCGGUGCAUGCUGUGGGGUGGAAAGCCUUGUGCGGCUGGAGAUGGGCCCGCGGCCUAUCAGCUUGUUGGUGGGGUGAUGGCCACCAAGGCGACGACGGGUAGCCGGCCUGAGAGGGCGACCGGCCACACUGGGACUGAGACACGGCCCAGACUCCUACGGGAGGCAGCAGUGGGGAAUCUUGCGCAAUGGGCGAAAGCCUGACGCAGCGACGCCGCGUGA
rnacentral:rRNA from 1 species